rnacentral:rRNA from 1 species
AUUGAACGCUGGCGGCAUGCCUUACACAUGCAAGUCGAACGGCAGCGGGCCUUCGGUGCCGGCGAGUGGCGAACGGGUGAGUAAUGCAUCGGAACGUGCCAUUGAGUGGGGAUAACGUAGCGAAAGUUACGCUAAUACCGCAUAUUCUGUGAGCAGGAAAGCAGGGGACCGCAAGGCCUUGCGCUCUUUGAGCGGCCGAUGUCAGAUUAGCUAGUUGGUGAGGUAAAGGCUUACCAAGGCGACGAUCUGUAGCGGGUCUGAGAGGAUGAUCCGCCACACUGGAACUGAGACACGGUCCAGACUCCUACGGGAGGCAGCAGUGGGGAAUUUUGGACAAUGGGCGCAAGCCUGAUCCAGCCAUGCCGCGUGAGUGAAGAAGGCCU